AGUGAACGCUGGCGGUAGGCCUAACACAUGCAAGUCGAACGGCAGCACAGUAAGAGCUUGCUCUUACGGGUGGCGAGUGGCGGACGGGUGAGGAAUACAUCGGAAUCUACUUUUUCGUGGGGGAUAACGUAGGGAAACUUACGCUAAUACCGCAUACGACCUACGGGUGAAAGCAGGGGAUCUUCGGACCUUGCGCGAUUGAAUGAGCCGAUGUCGGAUUAGCUAGUUGGCGGGGUAAAGGCCCACCAAGGCGACGAUCCGUAGCUGGUCUGAGAGGAUGAUCAGCCACACUGGAAGUGAGACACGGUCCAGACUCCUACGGGAGGCAGCAGUGGGGAAUAUUGGACAAUGGGCGCAAGCCUGAUCCAGCCAUACCGCGUGGGUGAAGAAGGCCUUCGGGUUGUAAAGCCCUUUUGUUGGGAAAGAAAAGCAGCAGGUUAAUACCCCGCUAUUCUGACGGUACCCAAAGAAUAAGCACCGGCUAACUUCGUG
rnacentral:rRNA from 1 species